rnacentral:rRNA from 1 species
GAACGUCCUCCCCGUUCUUUCGGGAGGGGGGAGGGAGUGGCGGACGGGUGAGCAACACAUGGGUGACCUGGCUCGAAGUGAGGGAUACCGGCGAGAAAUCGCCGACAAGCCCGCAUAGGCUCUCUCUUGUGGGUGAGCGAGAGCAAAGCUUUUUUUCGGAAGAGCGCUUUGAGAUGGGCCUGUGGCCGAUUAGCUGGUUGGUGGGGUAAGAGCCUACCAAGGCUGCGAUCGGUAGCUGGUCUGAGAGGACGAACAGCCACACUGGGAUUGAGAACGGCCCAGACUCCUACGGGGGGCAGCAGUGAGGAAUUUUCCGCAAUGGGCGCAAGCCUGACGGAGCAACGCCGCGUGCAGGAGGAGGCUCUUCGGAGUGUAAACUGCUUUUCUGUGGGACGAGCUUUGGACGGUACCACAGGAAGAAGCCCCGGCUAACUACGUG